rnacentral:rRNA from 1 species
GAUGAACGCUGGCGGCGUGCCUAAUACAUGCAAGUCGAGCGAACAGAUGAGGAUCUUGCUCCUUUGACGUUAGCGGCGGACGUGUGAGUAACACGUGUAUAACCUACCUAUAAGACUGGUAUAACUUCGGGAAACCGGAGCUUAUCCCGGAUAAUAUCUUGAUCCGCAUGGUUCAAUAGUGAAAGACGGUUGUGCUGUCACUUAUAGCUGGAUACGCGCCUCAUUAGCUAGUUGUGAAGGUAACGGCUUACCACGGCAACGAUGCGUAGCCGACGGGAGGGGCGGGUAGCCCACACUGGAGCGGGGACGCGGACAAGACGACUGAGGGAGGCCGCAGAAGGGAACGUGACGCAAUGGGGGAGAGCCUGACGGAGCGACGGCGCGUGAGUGACAGCGGUCCUGCGAUCGUAAAAAUGUGUUAUGAGGGAUGAACAAAUGUGGAAGUAGACAAGCCGGGAGUGACGGUACCGGAUAAGAAAGCAACGGCUAACUACGUG